UAUAGAGUUUUAAUGAUAUACAGUGAGGAAUAGAAGUAUUUGAAGACCCUGCGAUUUUGUAAGUUCUCCCACUUAGAAAUCAUGGAGGGGUCUGAAAUUCACAUUGUAGGUGCAUUCCCAC